rnacentral:rRNA from 1 species
UUACGACUACAUAUCAGGCAUAUCAAUAAGCGGAGGAAAAGAAACUAACAAGGAUUCCCUUAGUAACGGCGAGUGAAGCGGGAAGAGCUCAAAUUUGAAAUCUUCGAGGUUCUACCUUGACGAAUUGUAGUUUAAAGAAGUGUAUUCUGUUAGAGGAGUAGCAAAAGUUCCUUGGAAUGGGACAUCAUAGAGGGUGAGAAUCCCGUAUUUGGUUAUUCUUUCUAGCUUUGUGAUACACUUUCAAAGAGUCGGAUUGUUUGGGAAUGCAGUCCAAAAUGGGUGGUAAAUUUCAUCUAAAGCUAAAUAUUGGCGAGAGACCGAUAGCGAACAAGUACCGUGAGGGAAAGAUGAAAAGAACUUUGAAAAGAGAGUUAAACAGUACGUGAAAUUGUCAAAAGGGAAGCGUUUGACACCAGUGUUGUUUAGUUCGAAAAUCAAUUCAAUAGGUCUUGAUUUUAAGUUAGUAUUGACCUUAUCAGCUUGCUGCCUCUUUUCAGAAUCUUCUUGAAUGCACUUUUCAGUUAACAAGUCAACAUCAAUUUCUUUUGUUGUAAAAGGGUAAGAGGAAGGUGGCUUGCGCUUCGGCUCAAGUGUUUAUAGCCUUUUAUCUCUGCAAUCGGAGAGAUUGAGGUCUGCAGCGUAGAUCCCUUCGGGGUUAGAUACAGUUUGUGCUAAGCUAUAGCCUUGUAUAGACAACUUGUUGACUAUGCUCAGUCAUGUAGCUUACUCGCUGAUGCUAUUUUACCUACGCUUAGGAUGUUGAUCUACAGAGCGAGAGU